ensembl:lncRNA
ACAAGGCUCACCUGCAGCCCCUUCCCUCAUUAGUUCCUCACUACUCAAUUCACACCUUGAUUAGAUUGGAUUAGUCCUGAACUUCUACUGGAGGAGACAUUCUUUCCGGGCCAUUCAAGAGAAAACAGGCUUUCCUAGGAACACUUUCUGGCAAUUUUUGUGCAGAAGAGUGUGACAGUUCCCCAUCCAGCCGACGAAGCAGGAAUCCUGCCGUCCUGCCAGCUCUCUCUCUCCUCUCAGGCCCACGGACAGUGGGCCUCUGGAAGCUAAUGGUUCAUGCCCUCCUCCCAGGGCAGAAAAUGGACUGGAAUGUUGUUUACCUCAAGCACACCAGGCUGCAGCAGGACAAAACAUGGCUUACAGAACCUCCAGUCUGAGACUAAUGUCAUUGUCUUGGAUGCCGGGAUAUGAUCAUCCGUCUCAUUUGUUCGCAGACAAAGCAAAAGAAAACAAGUGCGACAGCUUGAGAGUGAAUACAAAUCUCACUAUUGAUCCAGCGCUCAACAUUUUUCAAAGGAAUAAAUAGGAUAUGUUUG